rnacentral:rRNA from 1 species
AAAUUGAAGAGUUUGAUCAUGGCUCAGAUUGAACGCUGGCGGCAGGCCUAACACAUGCAAGUCGAACGGUAACAGGAAGCAGCUUGCUGCUUUGCUGACGAGUGGCGGACGGGUGAGUAAUGUCUGGGAAACUGCCUGAUGGAGGGGGAUAACUACUGGAAACGGUGGCUAAUACCGCAUAACGUCGCAAGACCAAAGAGGGGGACCUUCGGGCCUCUUGCCAUCAGAUGUGCCCAGAUGGGAUUAGCUUGUUGGUGAGGUAACGGCUCACCAAGGCGACGAUCCCUAGCUGGUCUGAGAGGAUGACUAGCCACACUGGAACUGAGACACGGUCCAGACUCCUACGGGAGGCAGCAGUGGGGAAUAUUGCACAAUGGGCGCAAGCCUGAUGCAGCCAUGCCGCGUGUAUGAAGAAGGCCUU